rnacentral:sRNA from 1 species
AUUUUGAGAGAAGAGAGUUGAGGAAAUUCUAGUUGCAAAGAGAAAAUUCUGGAAGUUUUCGGGGAACAAUUUCUAAGCACGAGAUGAAGUCUUGAGAUGAAGGAACGUCGUCUGACUCAGUGCCCAAGAAGGGAGAGAUAGAAGAACUCAAGUUAUGAUUAAGAAUUUGCAAAUAUGAGCGUAAAAUAUGUAAAAUUCAUAUAUCAAUUAUGAAUUUUUAAGUGUGAAAUUACGGGACCUACCGUAAAUAUAAUGUUAC